rnacentral:rRNA from 1 species
UACGGAGGGUGCAAGCGUUAAUCGGAAUUACUGGGCGUAAAGCGUGCGUAGGCGGUUCGUUAAGUCUGUUGUGAAAGCCCCGGGCUCAACCUGGGAAUGGCAAUGGAUACUGGCGAGCUAGAGUGUGUCAGAGGAUGGUGGAAUUCCCGGUGGUAGCGGUGAAAUGCGUAGAGAUCGGGAGGAACAUCAGUGGCGAAGGCGGCCAUCUGGGACAACACUGACGCUGAGGCACGAAAGCGUGGGGAGCAAACAGG